ensembl:lncRNA novel transcript, antisense to ARHGAP44
UGAGCCACGGUGCCCAGCCAUGUGUGUGGGUCUGAUUCUAGAAGGAAUUAUCUUGUAAGUCCUAAGGGAGAGGUCAGAAGCUCUUCCUUCUCCCCACCCCACCCCCACUCCCUCCAAGGAACAAGGUCUGUUAGGAGGACACCUCAUGUAUUCUCUGGGUGUGUCAGUCUGCAGUGUGGACAGAAGGACAUGCCCUUCAGAAUCCUACCAACGUGGGCUCAAAUUUCUAUCCUGCCACUUACCCGCUGUAUUCCCUGGGUCAACUUAUUCAAACAUCUUCUAUGCAAUUGGAGGAAAAAGAUUUUCUCUGCAGCAGUGUAAUAAUUAAAUGAGAUCAUACAUGUCAAGUACCACAUAAUCAUGACAUAAUAAAACCACUUAACUUUCCAA